CAGCAGCCACGGUAAUACAGAGGAUGCAAGCGUUAUCCGGAAGGAUUGGGCGUAAAGCGUCUGUAGGUGGCUUUUCAAGUCCGCCGUCAAAUCCCAGGGCUCAACCCUGGACAGGCGGUGGAAACUACCAAGCUGGAGUACGGUAGGGGCAGAGGGAAUUUCCAGUGGAGCGGUGAAAUGCGUUGAGAUCGAAAAGAACACCAACAGCGAAAGCACUCUGCUGGGACGACACUGACACUAAGAGACGAAAGCUAGGGGAGCAAAUGGGAUUAGAUACCCCCGUAGUCCCUGUCUCUUAUAC
rnacentral:rRNA from 1 species